UUCAGCUAAUCCAUUUUCUUUUGGAAACCAAUGAAAACUCAUAUGCAGAACCUAUUGACCAACCUGGACUAUCAGCAUCUAAGGAAACAGCUCAAUGAAGACAUGAAUAGUGACAAAAAUAUCCCACUCUCAAUCCAUAUUGAAGAAUAAAUCAACUUUUUGCAACAUAUACAGAUAGAAUUGCCCAGUCAUUGUCCAUCAUAUGUGCUAAGGAAUGUUCAAGUGAAGAAUGUGAAGAUAAUGAACAAUCCUGUAUAAAGAAUUCAAAAUUAAAAGUUUAAGAAUUAA